CCAGCAGAUAGAUGUUCAACUACUAUUCCUGAAAGUAUAAAUACAUUUCAUGGAUUUUUCCCUUCAUUCUACUGCUUCAUUUAAAAUAUUUUGUGUUUUCUUACAUUCCAUCUGGAAGUCUAUAACUUUGUACCUUGUGUAAUAAAGAAUUUGACACUAUCACUCCUCCAAAAUAAUAUGUUAAAAUGGUAAGCAUUCUAUGGUUUUCUUGAUACUUUUUUUUUUUUUUUUUUGAGACAGACUCUUGCUCUGUCUCUCAGGCUGUAGGGCGGUGGUGUGAUCUCAGCUCACUGCAACAUUUGCCUCCCAGGUUCAAGCGAGUCUCCUGCCUCAGCCUCCCAAGUAGCUGAGAAUACAGGCGCUCGCCACCACACCCAGCUAAUUUUUUGUAUUUUAUUUUAGGAGAAACGGGUUUUCACCAUGUUGGCCAGACUGGUCUCAAACUCCUGACCUCAGGCAAUCUGCCCGCCUCGGUUUCCCAAAGUGUUGGGAUUACAGGCGUGAGCCAUCCUGAUCGGCCAGAGACACAUAUUUAUAUAUAAAAGCAAAUUUAUCUUGUCAUUGAGAUGCGCAUCCACAAGUCACAAACCCCAUUCUAAGGUCAGCUUUGUGGUUUACUAAGUGAUGUCAAUUUCCCAACAUGGUGCAUGACAAGGUGCAUAUGUAACUGGAAUAAAAGCCAGGGCAAAAAGUUGAAACCAGCCUCGUUGUCUGGGUAUUACUGGAAGUUCUUGGUCUCACAGCUGAGGUAAUCAAGGAUGCGGAUACUCCAGACUUGAGGUUAGAGCAGAAAUUUGAUAAGCGAAAGGAAGAAAGCUCUCUGGAGCAGAGAGGGGUCCCAAAAAGAUGGAUUGCCGUUUUACAGAGAAAUGCAAGGGUUUUCAUAGACAAACUGAGGGAGAUGGGUAUUUUGUUUACAUAAGACUUGAAUUUCUGACAGUUCGCACCCCACUUUUUCUAGUGUGCAUGCGCGCUUCUUAGUCUGAGUUAAUGUUGCUUAUCUCUUCCUACUGCGCAUAGGUGAAAAAGACGAGGCAGCAGAACCCAACCCUCCAUGGUGGGUGGACGCACCUGGUAGAUCUUCCCAUCGGUGCUGCUGUAGGCACUCCCCCUGUGCAAGCCUCCUUGUCUGAGUAUUUCCAAGAAGGGAGAGGACCGUGCACACUGGGCCCACUAGACAGAAGAGGGGAGAAAAAGAAGUGAAAGUUGUGGGAAGGAGGUAAAAGAAGAGAAUGAAUUCUCUCUUCAGCUGAGGAAGUGGAAGAGUGAGAAGAGCUUCCAGAGUCCAGCCUAUUGGAGCCACCAGCGGAAUGAGCACAGACCCCAGAGGAGCAGAAGACCCAUCCGGUGAAGCCUGACCUGAAUUCCUGACUAACAAGUGGCUUAACAAGUGGAAUUUUGGGCUUGCUGAAGAGGAAGAAAGAGGAGGAAGAGGAGAAGGAAAGUGUAAUUAACAAGAAAAAACUAACACCUUGAAUAUUUAACAGAAUGUCAGCUAGUCGCCUGUAAUUCAGUCACUGUUCUCUACAUAGCUAAACUUUUAGUAAUAAUGUAGGUAUUCCCUGGCCAAGAGAAACAUAGAAUGUGUGUGUGUGUAUAACAGAAGCAAAUGAAAAGAAAACAAAAUAAAGGACAUUCUGGAGUCAGGGAGUAAAUAUUUCAUUUUAGAGCACAGCAUGUUUUAAUGGAAUAUGGUGUCUAGGGCUGGAGAAGAAAUCACAAAUAUACUUAUUUAUAAUUACUUAUUAUUUUUACAAACUCUGCUUACUAAAAAUUAUUUGAAACAGCUCACAUUUAUCCAACAAACACUGCUGAUGCCUCAUAUACGCUUUGCCUCAAUUUGUUGAGAGUAGGUACGGAGCAUGAGUCAGAAUUCGUAAAGGCAAGUAUAAGGAAUGUGAUCGCUAGUAGGAGGCGAUUCUCUUUCAACUUCCUAAGUUUCUGUAUGUCUUGUGAUAGGUAGAGAAUACCUUGGUUGUGGAUUAUCCUUUUGAGGAUAUUUGCAUUAUCGACUAGCCUUGGGAGAGAAAAAGGGAGAUACAGAAAGACAGAGAGGAUAGUUCUCUCAAGAGCAAUGGACCAGCAUGCUUACUGCCUAUUAUAAAGUAUUUGAGUUCCCUAAGCUCAGGAUUUUUUUCUCUUAAACAAAACCCACAGUGGCUUGGUUUUCUUCAAGUUACCAUGUGGAAACUGGGGCUUGGGGAAUGGAUGCAAUUGCUGUAAUAAACAGUCCCAUAACUGUCAGUAAUAAAUAGUUCUACAUCUCUGGCCCAUGGAUUUCGUAGCUUUAUCCAACACCCAUAAAAAGGUGUAAGUAAUUUCUUGGUUUGCGUGUGGGGUAAAUUUUCAGACCUUUCACAAAUUUUGCGAUUUGCUUUGAGUAUUUGCACUUUAUUCAGACAAAUACUUGAGCCAAACUAGUAUUUCCUCAAGGUAAAAUAUCUUCUGUCAUAUUUAAUUUUCCUGUUAAAUUUAAACUCAAAAACCUCCUCAGGGGAAAAUGAGAAAAGGAUAUUGUAAAAGAAAGAAGAGUCAAAAUGGAGUGAUAAGAAUACCAAAAAUAAGCUGGGUGCAGUGGCUCAUGCCUGUAAUUCCAGCACUUGAGGUGGCCAAGGUGGGGGGAGGGUCACUUGAGGCCAGGAGUUCAAGACCAGCCUGGGCAACAUAGCAAGACCCCAUCUCUAUUAAAAAAAAAAGUAAAAAACAGACCAAAAAAAGUACCAAAAAUAAUGAAAAACAAAAAAUAGUUCAAAGAAAAGCAUAGGGUAUAGGCCUUAAAGUUUUAAAAAUGUGUUUAGACAAAUGUUGUUUAAAAGUGUUUUAGAGUCAUCCAAUGGUUAUGCUAAUAGACAUACUUUUGUGGAAAAUAUGGAAAAGGUUUAGUUUAUUGAGAGAGUGGUGGUUGACUAUUCUUGACCAAUUUUUAAAUGGCAAAGUUUUAUUAUAAUUUAAGAAUGGAGACAGACAGCUGUGAAUAACUCAAUUGAAAUGUAAGCUGAUGAAAGAAGAAGGAUAUAGACAUUUUUCUAGUGUUCGAAUUAUGCAGUGCUUGCCCUGAAUACUGCUGAACUCACCACUUGGAAGGGAAGACUAAUCUUAUUUGGAACAUGCCAUUGUUUAGUAUGUAAUUUCUCACUAUUUCUUAAUUUAAAGGUGUCAGUGAAAACUGCAAACUCAGUUAUUUAAAUAUCUGACGCUUUUGAAAAUCCAGCUACCUUUAUC